rnacentral:rRNA from 1 species
CCCUUAGAUGUUCUGGGCCGCACGCGCGCUACACUGACGAAUGCAACGAGCUUAUAACCUUGGCCGAAAGGUCUGGGUAAUCUCCAAAUUUCGUCGUGAUGGGGAUAGAUUAUUGCAAUUAUUAAUCUUCAACGAGGGAUGCCUAGUAAGCGCAAGUCAUCAGCUUGCGUUGAUUACGUCCCUGCCCUUUGUACACACCGCCCGUCGCUCCUACCGAUUGAAUGGUCCGGUGAAGCGCUCGGACCGCGGCCUCUUGACGGUUUUCCGUCGAUUGGCUGUGGGAAGUUCGUUAAACCUUAUCAUUUAGAGGAAGGAGAAGUCGUAACA